rnacentral:rRNA from 1 species
GACGAACGCUGGCGGCGUGCUUAACACAUGCAAGUCGAACGGAAAGGCCCUGCUUUUGUGGGGUGCUCGAGUGGCGAACGGGUGAGUAACACGCGAGUAACCUGCCCUUGACUUUGGGAUAACUUCAGGGAACUGGGGCGAAUACCGGAUAUGAGCUCCUGCUGCGUGUGGUUGGUUGGUAAGUUUCGGCGGUGGUGGAUGUACUCGCUGCUUAUCAGCUUGUUUGGCUGGUAGUUGCUUACCAGGGCUUUGACGGGUAGCCGGCCUGAGAGGGUGAACGGCCACAUUGGGACUGCGAUACGGACCAGAAUCGUACGGGCGGCAGCAGUGGGGAAUAUUGCACAACGGGGGGAAGCCUGAUGCAGCGACGUUGGGUGCGGGAUGACGGCCUUCGGGGUGUAAACAGAUUUCGAAUGUGACGAAGACUGCGUGACGGUAAUGGGUCAAGAAGCACCGGCUAACUACGUG